UACGUAGGGCGCAAGCGUUGUCCGGAAUUAUUGGGCGUAAAGGGUGCGUAGGCGGUUCGGUAAGUUUCGUGUGAAAUCUUCGGGCUCAACUCGAAGUCUGCACGAGAUACUGCCGGGCUUGAGUGUGGGAGAGGUGAGUGGAAUUUCCGGUGUAGCGGUGAAAUGCGUAGAUAUCGGAAGGAACACCUGUGGCGAAAGCGGCUCACUGGACCAUAACUGACGCUGAGGCACGAAAGCUAGGGGAGCAAACAGG
rnacentral:rRNA from 1 species